GAUGAACGCUAGCUACAGGCUUAACACAUGCAAGUCGAGGGGUAACGAGAGGAAAGCUUGCUUUCCUUGUCGACGACCGGCGCACGGGUGAGUAACGCGUAUCCAACCUGCCCCCAACUAGGGAAUAACCUUGCGAAAGUAAGACUAAUACCCUAUAAUUUCCUCAGAUGUCAUCUGACGAGGAAUAAAGAUUUAUCGGUUGUGGAUGGGGAUGCGUCUGAUUAGCUUGUUGGCGGGGUAACGGCCCACCAAGGCAACGAUCAGUAGGGGUUCUGGGAGGAAGGUCCCCCACAUUGGAACUGAGACACGGUCCAAACUCCUACGGGAGGCAGCAGUGAGGAAUAUUGGUCAAUGGGCGGAAGCCUGAACCAGCCAAGUAGCGUGCAAGAUGACGGCCCUAUGGGCUGUAAACUGCUUUUAUACAGGAAUAAAGUUAGCCACGUGUGGUUAUUUGUAGGUACUGUAUGAAUAAGGACCGGCUAAUUCCGUGCCAGCCGCCGCGGUAA
rnacentral:rRNA from 1 species